UCGGGUGUAGUGUAUGGUGCACAGCUGGAGUUUCUAGUGCAUCCUCUAUAGAUCUAGCAGCAGGACGGGGUUCGACUCCCCGCACCCGAA